rnacentral:rRNA from 1 species
ACGAACGCUGGCGGCGUGCUUAACACAUGCAAGUCGAACGGAAAGGCCCUGCUUUUGUGGGGUGCUCGAGUGGCGAACGGGUGAGUAACACGUGAGUAACCUGCCCUUGACUUUGGGAUAACUUCAGGAAACUGGGGCUAAUACCGGAUAGGUGCUCCUGCUGCCUGGUGGGGGUUGGAAAGUUUCGGCGGUUGGGGAUGGACUCGCGGCUUAUCAGCUUGUUGGUGGGGUAGUGGCUUACCAAGGCUUUGACGGGUAGCCGGCCUGAGAGGGUGACCGGCCACAUUGGGACUGAGAUACGGCCCAGACUCCCACGGGAGGCAGCAGUGGGGAAUAUUGCACAAUGGGCGGAAGCCUGAUGCAGCAACGCCGCGUGCGGGAUGACGGCCUUCGGGUUGUAAACCGCUUUCGCCUGUGACGAAGCGUGAGUGACGGUAAUGGGUAAAGAAGCACCGGCCAACUACGUG